UUCUUAUCCAGAGUGGCGGAGGGAUCGGCCCGUAGAUGCCACAGCAACCGCUCCUCCCCCUAUCCCCCUCAAUGAGGGGGAUAGGGGGAGGGGGGCAGGUGCUAAAUCCGGCAAGGUAAUGGGGAAUAGAUUUCAAAUCUGUCCCCGUAAAAUCCUUGGAAGAUAAGAU
rnacentral:ncRNA from 2 species